rnacentral:misc_RNA from 1 species
ACAUGUAGAUGUAUGAAGGUUAGAUGGUGAAUGUGUAUAAUUACAGGGGCAUUAGUGUUAUUCCUCCUAAACUGUGGAGACUCAAUAUUGAUCCUCCUGAUGGUAGUACUGCUUCAUUUGAUGUUGAUGAGAGAUGGUGGGACCAGGUGGAACUGACUAGACUGGAUCUAUCAUCUAACGAAAUCAAAGAAAUAUCUGAAGAUAUUGAAAACUUUAAUUCAUUGUCAGCGCUUGAGGUCCAGUACAAUGAGUUAACAUGUCUACCUAAUAAUGUGAUCAAACUGGAUAAACUAUCUAAAAUAUUUGCAAGUUAUAAAAUGAUGUGUUCUUGAUGAUGAUUGUAAUACCAUCAUGUCCGUCUCAUGGUCUGUGAAAAGGAUACAUGUACAUUCUCUCCUAUAUGUUAGGAAGGUUUGAGUCUCUUCAUUAUCUUCUCUUUGAUGUUCUCCUCUUAA